CUAAAAGUUACUUACAUAUUUUAAGUUGUGGAUGCAUUAAUAAAUAGCGAAAUGAAACCUGCCUGUUUGUUUAUGAUGAUUGUUUUUCCAUUAUAUUUAUGGGGAUCAGCAAUUCCAACGAGGACGAGACUAUUUGAGAAUAAAUGGAACUAUUCAUCCGCUUUGAUCAAACUAGGAGAACUGAACAAGGAAGUAGAAUAUUUAGAAGAAAAAUUGAAUAAAACAGAAAAUGAUAAAAUGUCGUUCGCAAGAAAAUUAAUUGUACUAGAUUUCAUUCGCGAUCAUUUAGAAAACUUGUGUCUUUUGUUUGAUCCCACAUACGGAUUUACCACUAUUGGACAAACACCGUUUGUGACGAUGGACAAAAACAGAACCGAUUUAUUGGAUAUUCCCGCCGUUUUUAGGGGUAGGAAGGAGGCAGAUUACAAGAGUGCGUAUGUCAGGUAUUAUCGCAUUGUUACGAAUGCGAAAGAAGGCUACCUCGUUCAUCAAGAUAUUCACAACUUGAAGAAGGAAUUGAAAAUGGAACAUUCAGUUGCAACGGAUCACGAAAUUAUCAGGUGUAUGGCAAUAUUAUGGUGUAAGGUUUGUGAUAGUAGGAUAUUCGGUGUUAAUGAUGGCAUAAUACGAGUAGGUUUUAAAAAUGCCAAGGAAGUGUCAGAUGCAUUUAGUGCACACGAAUAUGACAAGAACAUGAUCGAGUUUGUCCGUGCCUUAUUCAUGGUCACUUGUUUUUUGAAAUAGUGUUAGUGUACAUUACAUAGAUCAAGAAGUCUUUGCUGGAAAUUUUGUUACGUUAAUUUUUUGUUUUUGUUUUUAUGUAUAAAUUGUAGGUAAACGUUUUUAGAGGUGCACAUAAUAUUUUUAAUGGCGAUUUAAAACCUUGGAAAACUCGACGUCAUUUUUGUUUCGAAUUGUCGAAGAAUAUAAGCUUAAAGAAAAUUCGACCAAAAAGAGAAAUCGAGUAAAAUAAAGCCCAUGCACGUUUUCACUUUCAGCGAAAAAUUAUCAACUUUCUAACGAAUUGAUACAAAUUACCUCAACUUUUUCGCCGUUCGAAGAAGAUGGCUUUUCCUUCCACCAUUUUUACGUGUGAUUUCUAAACCACCCUUCUUCGUCCAAACGGCAGCCCAUAAAUCAACCUCUUGCUCUAGAAAUGACACCACCAUUAAGAAAACCUUUUUGAAAAUAACCGAAAAACAGACGAGAUAGUAUUUAAAACAGGGUAAAAACGACAAAGAAAUCUUCAAAUAAUAUCUCCAACAACGAUGACUCUGCGCUUCCUCAAACACUCGAGGCUCGAGGCAAUACAAUAAAAUAGCAUUCAGCGGAGAAAACGACAAAGCUAUACGUAUAGUACAAAUGAUAUGCGUAUAAAUACACAAAGAUCUCGACAUCUACUUUAACCCUUCAACCCUACAGCACGUUUAGGGAGCACGUUACGCGAAUUUAUAAACACAGCGCGCCGCUGUUGUUUGCGAAAACGGAUGAAAUUUAUUAUAAAGUUCAUAGAUCUUGUUGUUUUUCUUAAUUAAAGCACAAUGAUGAGUUAAUUACACGAUUCUUAAGAGAUCGCUCAGCUUCAAAGGAACCCUUUUGGCUAAGCCAAUUUUUCGGGUAUUUCGCAAAAUGCCAGAGCCUCGUUUAUUUUUACUCAUGUAACAAGUAUAUUUAUAGGUCUUAUUUAUAACAAUAUUUUAGGUGGGUAUA